rnacentral:rRNA from 1 species
GCUAUUCCAGAGGGCAUGCCUGUUUGAGUAUCAUGAACACCUCAACUCUCACGGUUUGCCGUGAUGAGCUUGGACUUUGGGGGUCUUGCUGGCCUGUGGUCGGCUUCUCUUAAAUGGAUCAGCUUGCCAGUGUUUGGUGGCAUCACAGGUGUGAUAACUAUCUACGCUUGUGGUUUUCCACCAGGUAACCUUCAGCGAUGGAGGUUCGCUGGAGCUCAUAAACGUCUCUCCUCAGCGAGGACAGCUUCUUGAACGUUUGAUCUCAAAUCAGGUAGGGCUACCCGCUGAACUUAAGCAUAUCAAUAAGCGGAGG